rnacentral:lncRNA from 1 species
CCACAACAUGGCACAGCACCACCCAUUGCUGCUGCAUUCAGAAGACAUGCUGUAGCUGUUGUCUGGAAUCUGUACCAACUUUAAAAUUAUUGCCUCUGGACAUCUUGCUCGUUGUGCAUGUAUCACCUUCAUGGUACGUCGGAUGUUUCCUGCAGAUAGAACUUGGAUCAUGUACAUUCAUGCAUGGUGGGUCCCAUGACCAGGCAAUGGCAUAU